UCCUGGCUCAGAAGUCAACGCUGGCGGCGUGCCUAACACAUGCAAGUCGAACGCGAAAGCCCCGAAAGGGGUGAGUAGAGUGGCAAACGGGUGAGUAACACGUGGGUGGACCUGCCUUAGAGUGGGGAGUAACGUCCCGAAAGGGACGCUAAUACCGCAUAACAUCCUGCCUUUGAAGAGGUGGAGAUCAAAGCUGGGGACCGCAAGGCCUGGCGCUCAAAGAGGGGCCCGCGCCUGAUUAGCUAGUUGGUGGGGUAAUGGCUCACCAAGGCAACGAUCAGUAUCCGGCCUGAGAGGGCGGACGGACACACUGGGACUGAGACACGGCCCAGACUCCUACGGGAGGCAGCAGUGGGGAAUUGUUCGCAAUGGGCGCAAGCCUGACGACGCAACGCCGCGUGGAGGAUGAAGACCUUCGGGUCGUAAACUCCUUUCGAUCGAGACGAACAGCCAUCGGAUAAACAAUCCGGAGGUCUGACGGUACCGAGAGAAGAAGCCCCGGCUAACUCCGCG
rnacentral:rRNA from 1 species